GCGGAAGUAGCUCAGUGGUAGAGCACCACCUUGCCAAGGUGGGGGUCGCGGGUUCGAGUCCCGUUUUCCGCUCCA
rnacentral:tRNA from 4 species